rnacentral:rRNA from 1 species
GACAGAGGUCUCAAGCGUUAGGCGGAAUCACUGGGCUUAAAGCGUGUGUAGGCGGAUGCCUAAGUACCUUGUGAAAUCCCACGGCUUAACCGUGGAACUGCUUGGUAUACUGGGUGUCUUGAGCCAGCUAGGGGCGACCGGAACAAACGGUGGAGCGGUGAAAUGCGUAGAUAUCGGGAGGAACACCAGUGGCGAAGGCGGCGAUCUGGGAAGAUACUGACGCUGAGGUGCGAAAGCGUGGGGAGCAAACAGG